rnacentral:misc_RNA from 1 species
AGAGUAUUGGGGAUAGUACAAUUUAGUGCUAUGUAUUUUCACACAUUUUCAAUUUGAGGAUUGAACUAAGUUUUGUUGAAAAUUGAGGAUUAUACUACAACACCGCUAGCAAUUUGGGGAUUCAAAGGGUAACGUUGCUAACCGCGCUAAUGUGACAUACUAACAUCAGCACCAUGUCUAAUGUGGCAUGCUAACAUUAGCCCAAUGUAUGACGUGGCAUGCUGACGUCAACACCACAUAAGUAAAUUCCUAAUUUUGCAAAAGAUUAAAUGUACAAGUCCCUAAAUUGUAAAUAAAACAAAGUUUCAGUCCCGAAUGCUAAAAGCACAAAAAUUUUGAAAGUAUAUAGAAAAAUAAAAAAAGAAAGGGAGAGAAGGAGAAGAAAGAAAAAAAAAUAGGAAAAAGAGG